GACGAACGCUGGCGGCGUGCCUAAUACAUGCAAGUCGAACGCAGUGGGGACGGGUGAGUAACACGUGGGUAACCUCCCAUCAGAGGGGAUAACACUUGGAAACAGGUGCUAAACCGAUACUGAUGGAUGAACCCGCGGUGCAUUAGCUAGUGGGUGAGGUAACGGCUCACCAAGGCCACGAUGCAUAGCCGCCCUGGGAGGGUGAGCUGCCACAGUGGGAGUGAGCCACGGCCCACACUCCUACGGGAGCCAGCAGUAGGGAACUUUCGACAAUGGACGAAAGCCUGACCGAGACAGGCCGCGUGAGUGAAGAAGGUUUUCGGAUAGUAAACCUCUGUUGUUAGAGAAGCGUUACCUAACCAGAAAGCCACGGCGAAUGACGUGCCAGCCGCCGCGGUAAUAC
rnacentral:rRNA from 1 species